GCUCUACGGGUCUCGGGCUGGAGAGCCCAACCUGGCCCCCGCAAUUGGGAGGCAAGGGAGAGGCAGGGAGAACUUUCUUUCUCUCUUUAGUGAGUUCUCAUCUCCUCCCACCCCAAGAUAGUCAAGAUUUUGGGUGGGAGCAUAACGAUGGCAUUGGGCUUGCUUUUUCUAAAUCUUAGAAGAUUUUGGGCCGAGUGAGGAUUGUGGAGGCUACCAGAUGCCCACCUGUCGGAGGCCACCAGGCUGCCCUGUCCUGGGGCGACCCCACUCCUCACAACACCAGGACCUGAGGCCGCUCCGGAGUCCAGGAGGACCUACCAGAAUGUGGGUAGCAUCUGCUAGUGGGGGGGACCAGAUUAAACAGUGUGGAAGAAGGAAGACCACUUGCCCUUGUUGGCCUGGCCUGGCCUCUUGCUUGAAGCGUUGGAAGAUGAUGAUGACGAUGACGACGACAACGAUUCCCCCACUGAAAAUAGAAGCAGCAGCCAUUUCAGGUUUCCAUCCUGGACCAAGGACCUUCAAGUCUCCAGGAACUUGCAGAUUUGGGGUGCAGGAUUGUUGACUACUGAGGCACCUCCAGGACCAGUCAGCUCCCGGAUUCCCAGCCUCGGUGUUGAGACUAUUUCAGAGUAAGCUGAUGACAUGCAUACUCUAAUAUAUUUGGUAUAUAAGAUGUUUCAUAUUUAAUAUAGAAAAUGUGGAAUUCCAUCAAUUCUGUUCCUCCAGAAAAUCUCAGCUUACAGAGGACACGUGUGCACACGUGUGUGUGAUGUCCUGUGGAGGUCAGAGGUCAGCCAUGGGCUUGUUCCUUGGAUGGCAUCCAUCUAUCUAGUUAUUUUAUUUUAUUUUAUUUUAUUUUAUUUUAUUUUGAGCUAGCCUCUCUGAUUGACUCUCCAAGCAGGCUAGGCUGGCUGGCUAGUGAGCCCCAGAGAUCCACCUGCCUCUGCCGCCCCGCCCUGGGAAUAAAAACAUUCACUGCCCUG
ensembl:processed_transcript 1110018N20Rik RIKEN cDNA 1110018N20 gene